rnacentral:rRNA from 1 species
CAGCAGCCGCGGUAAUACGGAGGGGGCUAGCGUUGUUCGGAAUUACCGGGCGCAAAGCGUACGUAGGCGGCUUUGUAAGUUAGAGGUGAAAGCCUGGAGCUCAACUCCAGAAUUGCCUUUAAGACUGCAUCGCUUGAACGUCGGAGAGGUGAGUGGAAUUCCGAGUGUAGAGGUGAAAUUCGUAGAUAUUCGGAAGAACACCAGUAGCGAAGGCGGCUCACUGGACGACUGUUGACGCUGAGGUACGAAAGCGUGGGGAGCAAACAGGAUUAGAUACCCCCGUAGUCCCUGUCUCUUAUAC